AAUAAGUAUAGCCGUGGAUAUCCGUGUCUAACGUUUGACCGUCCGUCUUAUUUAAAAAAUUUGUAAAAAAUUUAAAAAUAUUUAGUCACACAUAAAAUACUAUUUAUGUUUUAUCAUCUAAUAGCAAUAAAAAUACUAAUCAUAAAAAAUUUCAAAUAAAAUGAAUGGUCAAACGUUGAACGUGAAUAGUGCAAAACUGCACUUAUU
rnacentral:pre_miRNA from 1 species